UACGUAGGGCGCAAGCGUUUAUCCGGAAUUAUUGGGCGUAAAGAGCUCGUAGGCGGUUUGUCGCGUCUGCCGUGAAAGUCCGGGGCUCAACUCCGGAUCUGCGGUGGGUACGGGCAGACUAGAGUGAUGUAGGGGAGACUGGAAUUCCUGGUGUAGCGGUAGAAUGCGCAGAUAUCAGGAGGAACACCGAUGGCGAAGGCAGGUCUCUGGGCAUUAACUGACGCUGAGGAGCGAAAGCAUGGGGAGCGAACAGG
rnacentral:rRNA from 1 species